AAGAGCUCAUCAUUGGAAUCUGGCAGCGUUGCGCUGUCCGAGUUGUAGAUGAGAAGAGUAGGACAUCUGGACUGCAUGGUGUCCAAGUACAAUAGGCCGUCAGUGGGACAUCAUAGAGGGUGACAAUCCCGUCCUUGACACCAAUGUACGAGUCCUUUACGAUGCCUAUCUCGGAGAGUCGAGCAGUUUGGGAUUUGCUGCUUAAACACGGGAGGUAGAUUCCUUCCAAAGCUAAAUACAGGCAAGAGACCGAUAGUGAACAAGUACCGCAAGGGAAAGAUGAAAUAGAACUCUGUGAAGGGAGUCAAAAAGACGUGAAAUUGUUGCGAGAGAAGCGAUUCAAGUCAGCGUAGCUGGGCCCAUCAAGCCUCGCGCUUUGGACCAGCUUUGCCAGCGGUCUUGUCCCCAGAGACUUGACUAAGGUGCCCUGCCCGGUCUAACGGACAGACCUCCCCGCUGGGGAGGCCAGUGGCAUGGCUGGUGGAAUGGCUUGCAAUCGACCCGUCUUGAAACACGG
rnacentral:rRNA from 1 species